rnacentral:rRNA from 1 species
AGAAUCAACGCUGGCGGCGUGCCUAACACAUGCAAGUCGAGCGCGAAAGGGGGGCAACUCCCAAGUAGAGCGGCGAACGGGUGAGUAACGCGUGGGUGAUCUACCUUCGAGUGGGGAAUAACACCGGGAAACUGGUGCUAAUACCGCAUAACAUCCUUGAGUUUAAUUACUUGAGGAUCAAAGCCGGGGACCGCAAGGCCUGGCGCUUGAAGAGGAGCCCGCGUCCGAUUAGCUAGUUGGCGGGUAAUGGCCACCAAGGCUUCGAUC